rnacentral:lncRNA from 10 species
GCUCAAGCGAUUUUCCUGCCUCAGCCUCCCGAGUGGCUGGGAUUACAGGCGCACACCACCAUGCCCAGCUAACUUUUGUAUUUUUAGUAGAGACGGGGUUUCCCCAUGUUGACCAGGCUGGUCUCAAACUCCUGAUCUCAGGUGAUCCACCUGCCUCAGCCUACCAAAGUGCUGGGAUUACAGCUCUUUUCUUGGAAGAGAAGAAACCGUUUCAAAAAAUUAUUAAGGGAGCAACAAAGGGCUGUUUUGUACAUUCAUUACAUUCACGAGCCCCAGCAGCUACUAUUAAUGAGUGUCUGGAAUAUGUUCCUGGCAUUUCACCUACCCUCUCUCCAAUCCUUCCAAGAAACUCACAAAGCAGGGCUUUUUCUUGAACUUCUCUUCCUCACAACAGUUAAAUCAUCCAUUUAAAGAUGUCAAACAACCUCCGUGUUCUAAGCCAGACCAUCAACUUAACUUGUAAAACUACCAACUGUUGCUACACACAGGCAAAGGAAUUAAACUUGGUAGCUGAUCAUUUGAUUACAUCUAUCAGUCUACUGGAGGGCUUCAACGCAGAGUAGGUGGAAUUCAUGGUUCAAAUCAGAGUAUUAAUGGGAUCUGUU